AUAAGAGGAAGCAAAGGUAAGAAAAGUUUAAGAACUGUUGUUAAAACAGCACAGCAGCAACCAGUCAGAAUAACCCAGUUGCAGUGGCACCAGCCACAGGUAGUCGGUUCAGUGCAUACUGGCUGCCCUGAGUGUAGGUAACACAAAAUAUAAUAUUUUAAAUACCCAAAGGGAAAUGUAAACAAGAGGGAGCAGAGAGAAAAGAACGCUUUUAUAAUUCCAAAUUCAUGUUUCCCUUAUAGAGGGAAGAGAAUCAGUCUGGUUGGUUGCAUCCAUUCUUCAUGCCGUCCAAUACGCACCCUUUCAGGUGAAUGCAGUCCUUCUUACCAAAAAGGUGGACUCUGUUUCCUUACCCCGUGGAUCAGGGAAGGCCUUUUGACUUGCUUUGGCAAAUAGAAUGUGGCAGAAGUAAUGAUGUGCCAGUUCCAAGCUUAGGCUGUAAAAUGCCUCGAGUAACUCUGCUUGUUCUUGCUCCUCUGCCAUCGCUAUGACGUGAUGCCCAAGACAGCCUGCAGGAGGAUGAGAGACCACAGACAGAGCCAAGUUGCCCCGGUUGUCCCAGACGCGGCCAUCCAAGACGCGGCCAGCCAGCCAACACCUAUAUCAGGGUUCCUUAACAGAGGCACUGUUGACCUUUGGAGCUGGCCAAAGAAGCAGCUGCCCUCUGCAUAUGUACCACAGCGGGAAACAUUUCUUGAUGAAGGCAUUUCAUUUAAUGAAAAAUCCGUAUCGGUUUUAUGCAGGAGGUAUAGUAGUGUUCAGUGAAGACCCGAGUGAUGAGCAAAGGAACAGUAGGUGAUGCCUGGAACCACUGCAGCCAUCUUGCUACCAACCUGAGAAUGAAGUCAGUACUGGCUGAGCUGUGGAGUCAUCCAGCUCUGGAGCUCACCUCCAGAGCUGGAUGAGAUAAUAUAAUAUCCUUAUUAUUUGAGGCCAGUUUGUUUGUUUGUUUGUUUGUUUGUUUCAUUUACGGCUGAAAGUACCUUAACCAAUAGAGAUUUGCUAAUGCCCUUCCUACAGCCCUUCUCAGAAUACAUUAUAUGGAUUUACACUUAGUGUUUUCCAGUAAUAUUUAGCCUAAUGGACUCCCAAGUUACUGAAAUGAUUUAGAACAUUAAAAUAGAAAUGUGGUUACAUUAAAUUUCCUUAUAUUAUAUCUGCAGUUUUGCAUACAUGAAAGGACUGUGAUAAUUUUGUGUGUUUAAAGAGCUGGAAGGACCCUGUAGACAAUAUUAAUUUAUUCUAAUGAUCAUACCCUGCUUUUUAAGUUAGCAGCAUCUGAACUGACAAUAGUAGAAAAGAAAAGGUAAUUUUAAGAUACAAACCUAUACUGACAAAGGAAUAAUCUCCAAAAUUUACAAGCAGCUCAGUAUCAAAAAAACAAACAACCCAAUCCAAAAAUGGGCAGAAGACCUAAAUAGACAUUUCUCUAAAGAAGACAUACAGAUUGCCAACAAACACAUGAAAGAAUGCUCAACAUCACUAAUCAUUAGAGAAAUGCAAAUCAAAACUACAAUGAGGUAUCACCUUACAGCAGUCAGAAUGGCCAUCAUCAAAAAACCUACAAACAUUAAAUGCUGGAGAGGGUGUGGAGAAAAGGGAACCCUCUUGCACUGUUGGUGGGAGUGUAAAUUGAUACAGCCACUGUGGAGAACAG